GAACCGCGCCCACCGAACUCCAGACUCCUCCUCCGUUGUGACUGUACGUGCCCUGCGCCGCCGCUCUUCUCUCCGUACCUCUCUUUCCCCUACACACCAGACACAUCCAGACCGCAGACAUGGCUCCGUAAAGGUGCACAUGGCGGCCAGCAGCCAUGAACCAAAAAACAACUCACCAAAAACUACAGAUGCAUCUCCGAUUUGAUUAAUUUUGGACCGACCAACUUCUACAUCCGCUGCAAUAUUCUCCAGUCCGGUUUUCAGCAUUCGGGAGAGGAGGCUGCUCGCUUGCAACUCUGUCUCCAUUUUCUCCAGACAAUUUUACGUUUAUCCCGAAAUAAAACAAAACAAAAAACAAAAGUCAUGGGUGUGCAGGGUUUCCAGGAAUACAUUGAGAAGCAUUGCCCCAACGCCGUGGUGCCGGUGGAGCUCCAGAAGCUCGCCCGGGGGAGUCUGGUCGGCGGCGGCCGGCAGAGACCUCCUCAAACGCCGCUCCGGCUGCUGGUGGACGCCGAGAACUGUCUUCACCGGCUUUACGGCGGCUUUUACACCGACUGGGUGAGCGGAGGCCAGUGGAACCAUAUGCUCGGGUACCUCGCCGCCCUUGCCAAAGCCUGUUUCAACGGCAACAUCGAGCUGCUAGUGUGCUUCAAUGGCGCCCUGGAGAAAGGCCGUCUCCACGAGUGGGUCAAGCGACAGGUGAACGAGAGGCAGACCGCCCAGCAGAUUGUCAGUCACGUCCAGAACAAGGGAACACCGCCGCCCAAGGUCUGGUUUCUGCCCCCGGUGUGCAUGGCCCACUGCAUCCGCCUGGCGCUCCUCAGGUUCCACAUCGGGGUUGUCCAGACCAUCGAGGAUCAUCACCAGGAAGUGAUUGCCUUAUUUCGAGAGAACGGCUUCCAUGGUCUGGUUGCCUAUGAUUCGGAUUACGCCCUGUGCAACAUCCCAUAUUACUUCAGUGCCCAUGCCCUCAAACUCAGCCGCAACGGCAAAAGCCUCACCACCAGCCAAUACCUGAUGCACGAAGUUGCCAAGCAGCUUAAUCUCAAUCCAAAUCGUUUCGUCAUUUUUGCUUCACUUUUAGGUAAUCACAUACUGCCUGAUGAAGACUUGGCUGCCUUUCACUGGAGUUUACUUGGUCCUGAGCAUCCUUUAGCAUCCUUGAAGGUUCGUGCCCAUCAGCUCGUUCUUCCUCCAUGUGACGUCGUCAUUAGAGCUGUGGCAGAUUAUGUCCGAAACCUGCAAGAUGUCCACGAUCUGGAAGCUAUUGCUAAAGACAUAUUCAAGCAUUCGCAGUCCAGAACCGAUGACAAAGUUUUCCGUUUAAAGAAAGCAGUGGAUUAUUACAGCACCGCCAGCAAGCCUCCUCACUUCCCCCCCUAUUUAGUCAGACCAAAUCAAAUGGGAAUGCCAGCAGCAACGCAGAUGCUUAACAUUCCAGGCAAACCUGGGGUCCAGCAUGGCUUAUCCGGCCCUCCACUGGCAGGGUCUGUCCAUGAGGCGGAGCAGUCUAGUAAAGGGCUCUUAGAACAGAACAGCUACAGCAACAUUCCUAAUGACAGAAAGCAGCACACUCCGCUCUACGAAAGACUGUCCCCCAUCAACCCCAAUCACAGUGGCACCUCUAACCACACAGACCCAGCCUUCUGCACCACCUCGUCCACAUCCUCAGAGAAUGAGGAAAACACAGGCUCCACUGCCAACCAUGUAAGUGACCAUAAGCGAUGGGACAAACAGAAGAACCAGAUGGACAACAUCCCAGAAGGAGACCAUGUGGACCAAAAUGAUUCUGAUCCUUCUGCGACCUCUCCUGUGAACCAAGGCCUGGAGGGCAAAGGUCAUGUCGGGGUCAACGUCCAGAUUCCAUCCCUGCUUUCAAUGCCAACAAGAAACCACAUGGACAUCACCACUCCUCCUUUACCAGUGGUGGCGCCAGAGGUGCUGCGGGUCGCUGAGCACAGACACAAAAAGGGCCUCAUGUACCCAUACAUCUACCACGUUCUUACCAAGGGUGAGAUUAAAUUAUCGGUCACCAUUGAGGAUGAAGCUAAUAAAGACCUGCCCUCUGCGGUACAGCUUUACCGGCCUAUUCGUCAGUAUGUUUACGGGGUGCUCUUCAGCCUGGCCGAGGCCAAAAAGAGGGCCGAGAGACUGGCCAUGAGGAGAAAUUGUCUCCCUGAAUAUCCAGCGGUAAUCAUAAAAGAAUGGGCUGCUUACAAAGGCAAAUCACCACACACCCCUGAACUGGUGGAAGCUCUACCUUUCCGAGAGUGGACCUGCCCAAACCUGAAGAAACUCUGGCUGGGCAAAGCAGUGGAGGACAAGAACCGCAGGAUGAGGGCUUUUCUGGCCUGCAUGAGGUCUGACACUCCAGCAAUGCUGAACCCUGCCAACGUCCCCACACCUCUCAUGGUGCUGUGCUGCGUUCUGCGAUUGAUAACCUGGAUCCACGUGGCGUUCAGCUGGCUGCUCUUUUUAUGAGCGGCGUGGAUAUGGCGCUGUUUGCCAAUGAUGUGUGCGGGCAGCCUAUUCCAUGGGAACACUGCUGUCCGUGGAUGUAUUUUGAUGGAAAGCUGCUACAAAGUAAACUCAACCGGGCCAACAGGGACAAGGCCCCGCUUAUUGACCUCUGCGAUGGCCAGACUGAACUAGUUGCCAAGGUGGAGAAGAUGCGUCAGAGUAUUCUGGAGGGUCUGAACUUCUCUCGCCCACCACAGCCCCUUGCCUUCCCUCCGCCACCUCCACAUGCAAUGCCUUUCUAUCCGUCAAACAGCACCUUCUACCCUCCGCCGCCUCUGCCCCCGAUGCAG